rnacentral:rRNA from 1 species
UCGGGUUGUAAAGCACUUUUGUCCGGAAAGAAAACUUCUGCCCUAAUACGGCGGGAGGAUGACGGUACCGGAAGAAUAAGCACCGGCUAACUACGUGCCAGCAGCGCGGUAAUCGUAGGGUGCGAGCGUUAAUCGGAAUUACUGGGCGUAAAGCGUGCGCAGGCGGUUCGUUAAGACAGAUGUGAAAUCCCCGGGCUUAACCUGGGAACUGCAUUUGUGACUGGCGAGCUAGAGUAUGGCAGAGGGGGGUAGAAUUCCACGUGUAGCAGUGAAAUGCGUAGAGAUGUGGAGGAAUACCGAUGGCGAAGGCAGCCCCCUGGGCCAAUACUGACGCUCAUGCACGAAAGCGUGGGGAGCAAACAGGAUUAGAUACCCUGGUAGUCCACGCCCUAAACGAUGUCAACUAGUUGUUGGGUCUUCAUUGACUUAGUAACGUAGCUAACGCGUGAAGUUGACCGCCUGGGGAGUACGGUCGCAAGAUUAAAACUCAAAGGAAUUGACGGGGACCCGCACAAGCGGUGGAUGAUGUGGAUUAAUUCGAUGCACCGCGAAAAACCUUACCUACCCUUGACAUGGUCGGAACCCUGCUG